UACAUGGGGUGCAAACGUUGCUCGGAAUUAUUGGGCGUAAAGCGCACGUAGGCGGUUCGUUAAGUCGGAUGUGAAAGCCCUCGGCUCAACUGAGGAAGUGCACCCGAAACUGGCGAGCUUGAGUACGAAAGAGGAUCGCGGAAUUCCCGGUGUAGAGGUGAAAUUCGUAGAUAUCGGGAGGAACACCGGUGGCGAAGGCGGCGAUCUGGGUCGAUACUGACGCGUGAGGUGCGAAAAGCGUGGGGAGCAAACAGG
rnacentral:rRNA from 1 species